UACGUAGGAGACGAGCGUUGUCCGGAGUUACUGGGCGUAAAGGGUGCGCAGGCGGCCUGGCGCGUCGCGAGUGAAAUCUCCUGGCUCAACUGGGAGGGUGGUCGCGAGACGGCUGGGCUUGAGGCUCGGUGAGGGCGUGGAAUUCCGGGUGGAGCGGUGAAAUGCGUAGAGAUCCGGAGGAACACCGACGGCGUAGGCAGCGCCCUAGACGAGACCUGACGCUCAGGCACGAAAGCGCGGGGAGCGAACAGG
rnacentral:rRNA from 1 species